UAGGGGCCAGGCACAGUGGCUUACACCUGUAAUCACAGCACUUUGGGAGGCCAAUGUGGGCGAAUCACUUGAGAUGCAGCAAGAAGGCCCUCACCAGACACCAGAUGCCAGCAUCUUCAUUCUGGACUUCUAGCCCCCAGAACUAUCAAAUCAGGCAGCUGUCAUACUUACUAACUCAUGCAACAGAUUAUAAACCAAGCC